AAACAUGCCCAAGGUCAUGGUAUCCCUCGCCCAAAUCCUACCUCCAGGGUCGUGGCGGGAAUCGAAUUCCAACACCCCCCAGCGUUUUAGCUCAGCGUCCUCCCGCAGAUUCCUCGGCAUGGACUCCCCAGGGACCGUUCUACAUCGUCCGGGAGAUCCUGUGCUUGAUUGGCAAGCGUUCCAUCUAUGGGAGCAAGUUGCUUAAAAAACCACAGAAUAUGUUCAUCUGACAAAAGAGCUUACGACCAUAUGUGAGAGCAUUGAGUGGCAGGUGGAUGAGUUGGAAAGAAAAUUUCAGGUGCAUCAACAGAAUCCAACAUUUGAUUGACUCGAUGAAGUUGAACUCUCUAGACCACGAAACUGAACUGUCUUUUGCUCAUAAUCAGGUACAUUUCUUCAUAUAAUCCAUCAUUCUGUUUCUUACCCCCUUCGCCUUUAUUAUAACAGCAGAACUUAUUUGAGGAUUGGCUCUGACCGAACUAUAGUACAAAUUUUCUUCAGUGUUUACCUUCUUACCAUCUCAUUGAACUACCACAUCUCUCCCUUUUUUGAAUAAAAAUAGGGUACUCUUGAGCAUGCGUGGGUAACCUAUCGUAACUGAAUAUUGUAUCACGUGAUAUUGAAAAGGAAGACUGAUGGGAGUGAUAUUUAUGCUACUAUUUUUUAUCCCUACGAUUGACAAUGUGAAAUUUAUUUAUUCAGGGUUCCCUAUCUUUGGAAAACAUACCGAGGUUGGUGCUUUCAAGAGAGCUGUUGAAAAAUGGGUUGCAUGCUUGGACUAUCAAAUCAUUUUGAAAUCUUUGGAAUCUGUUGGAGUUGCGCUUAUUUUAGAUGCUUUUGUUAGGAUUUUUUUUGGCAUUACAUGCUUUGUAUGAUUGUGUUUAUCAGGAAAGUUGCUCUGGAGCUUGCUGGAAAAUGCGACAUUGAUGAUUUUGAUUCUCAGGUACACUAUUAUACAUUCAAUCCCCUU